rnacentral:lncRNA from 1 species
UGAAAUCCUGGAAACAUUUAAAACUUAGCAAAUAGGGGCUGGGAAAGUCUCUCAGUGGUUAAGAGAGUACACUGCUCUUUCAGAGGACCUGAAUUUGUGUCCCAACACUCACAUUUACGUGACUCACAACCACCUUUAAUUCUACCUGUAGGAGGCUCUGUCUCUGGCCUCUGUAGGCACUUGUACUAAUGUAAACACACCUACGCCCCCAAAUAAAAACAAGUCUUCAAAAUUAAGCAAAUGUAUGAUCACUCUGAAUUUAUGUGUGUGUGUGUGUGUGUGUGUAUGUGUGUGUGUGCUCGUUUGUGUGAUCAUGGAAGCCAACGGACAACAUUGGGCACCACUCUUUAGGCGUUGUGCUUUGAGACAGGAUCUCUCAUAGGCCUGAGAUUCACCAAGUAGGCUAGGCUUGUCAGCAUGCCAGGGAUCUACCACAGUUUUUACCUUCUCAGCACUGGGAUUAUAAUCUGUGCCACCGUACUGGGCUUGCUUGUUUUUGUUUGUUUGAUGUGAGUUCUAGAGCUGGAGUCCAGGUCUUUAUACUUGCAAGACAAGCCCUUUGCUGGCUGAGCCCUCUUCUCAGCCCUGAAUACUUACUGCUGGCAGACAGGUCUCGAAUUAUCUCUGAUUCCCUAGUAGUUCUCUGCCAGACAUUAACUGAUUCUGCUCUCUGGAGUGAACUGCAGAACACAUUUGUGCGGCCCUUGUCAGUCCCCGUGACUUGCACUUUUCACCUACACUUAUUUUUUAAUAUUCUAGAGGGCUACAGGAAGUGCAAGUUAGAUUUUAAAUGUUUUGCGGGUAGAUCGCAGUAUACAAACAUUUCCAUAUUUAUGCAUCUAUCAUCAUGCAGUUCACAAUGAAGUCUUUUCGAUAUUCAUGUCUUCCAUUGAUUGGCAGGUAUUUACUAAUAUCAUUAACUACAUUCCUCCAGUGUUUUAAGAAUCAUGGACAAAACAUUUUGGGUCCCAGAAUGGGCUUUAGAUGUGUAAAUCAAUCCCAUGGAUCAUUUUAAAUUACUAAUCAUAAGCAAACAGAUAAGCAAAAAUGACUAUAAAUUGGGUUAAUUACUGUAGCUCAAGUUUUAGCUCAUAAUUUUGACUUUCAAAGGCUACACAAACCAAUUUUGUACUCUUAGAUUAUAAUGAGCAGUCUUUAUUCUUUAAUCAGUUCGCCCCGUAUCUAGCUGUCUAACGUAACACUCCUUUGAAGUCUAGAAAGAUCUAACAUAAUUGAAGAAAUGUCGAACUACUUGACUCUUUUUUUUUUAAUAUAAAGGAAUUAAACAUUAAUCAGGUUUGUGCAUCUCAAUUAAGCCAAUUAAAAUUAUCACAGAACCGAGUGCAUACUGAGAGAGGUAGCUUUAAUGCCUGAAUACAUUACCAACUUUUACAUAGAAUUCCCAUAUCCAUUUAUGCUUGUUACUCAAAAAGUAAAUACAGACCCAGAGUCCACAUUAGGCUGCCUGCCAGUCAACACUAAGCUCUGGAAAAAAAACCCAAAAAAACCCAAAAAAACCAAGAAAACCAGCUCAUGGGGUUUGCUUGAUGGCCAUGUCCCUAGCGCUGGAGCACAUCCCAGAUCUUCCCACCACCGAUGGCAGGAUUCUGUAAGUACUGGCCCGACUGGUACCUUCAUCCAACGAACCCACUAAGUGUUCAAUUUGCUUUCCUAAUAACUGGGGAAGGCAGUUUUGGUGUUGCAGGCUGUAGUAUACAUACAAAGUCCA